rnacentral:rRNA from 1 species
CCUACGGGCGGCAGCAGUGGGGAAUAUUGCACAAUGGGGGAAACACUAAUGCAGCGACGCCGCGUGAGUGAAGAAGUAUUUCGGUAUGUAAAGCUCUAUCAGCAGGGAAGAAGAAAGACGGUACCUGACUCAGAAGCCCCGGCUAACUACGUGCCAGCAGCCGCGGUAAUACGUAGGGGGCAAGCGUUAUCCGGAUUUACUGGGUGUAAAGGGAGCGUAGACGGCUGUGCAAGUCUGAAGUGAAAGCCCAGGGCUCAACCCUGGGACUGCUUUGGAAACUGUGGAGCUAGAGUGCUGGAGAGGUAAGUGGAAUGCCUAGUGUAGCGGUGAAAUGCGUAGAUAUUAGGAGGAACACCAGUGGCGAAGGCGGCUUACUGGACAGUAACUGACGUUGAGGCUCGAAAGCGUGGGGAGCAAACAGGAUUAGAUACCCGGGUAGUC